AAGUCGUAACAAGGUUUCCGUAGGUGAACCUGCGGAAGGAUCAUUUGUGAAAUUUGAUGUUUUGGAUGAAAAUCUUUUUAGGAGUAAAAUUCUAAAGGGGUGAUCUGAAAAAACAUAAAAAAAGAGAUUUCUUGUGGUUUAUAAAUGAUUUUUUAGAAAAAAAUUGUUUGUUGUUGGAAAUUUAAACUUUCAAUGACAAACAAUUUAUAUUUUUAAAAAAAUCAAUUUUUUAUAAAAAACUAUUUUAAACAUGUAUUUAAAAAAAUUAACAGUUUUAAAAAAAAUAAAUUAAAAAAAAAUUAAAACUGUCAACGGUGGAUCUCUUGGCUCGU
rnacentral:misc_RNA from 1 species